CUCCUGGCUUUGCCCACUGUCGGAAGACAAGACUCGGAUGGCAGAUUUGCUGCAUCUUUCUUUUGGAUAACUUCAGUUUGCAAGGUAUGAUUGCAAGGGGAAGUGGGGAGAUAAAGGGAAGCAGGCAGGAGCCAUUGUGAACUUGCUAACAGCAUCUGAGAGCCACGUAGAGCUUUGUUCACCACCUGUGUCUGGAAUCCAGCAUCCUGGGAUUUCGAGGCUAUGUAGCUGGCUGUCAGGGGCCUGCUCCUGGGCCUGGGUCUUUGUUCUUGAAUUUACAUGGAAACAUCAUCGGAACUGGAGUGAAGUGGUAAGAAGGAGCCUGAGGGAAAAGAAUCCAUCAGUGGAGAGCAGUACAAGGAACACGGUGCCGGGUGCCCUUUCCACUACCUCCCAGGGUUGGCCCAGGCAACACAGGCUUCCAUUUGCAGCAGGGCCCACAUAUAAGGAGAUGUGGAACUAGGCCUCCACUGAACAUUCUUUGAACUUCAGGGGCACUGUUUCCAGCUGGCCCCCUGGGGGCGUGGAGGGAGGCAGUACUGGACAAACAUGAAUCAGGGCCCAGAAAAUGGCAAACAAGCAUAAACUACACUGCUGUGCCACUUACAUCCAGGCUUCAGACCAGCCCUGCAUCAGCUCUGAGACUUCUGCAGGGGCAGAGAGGAAGCAAUUUGCACCUUCCUAUUUCCAGGACCGCUAGGAUCUCCCUCACUCUCAGAGCCACUAUGGGCAUUGCAGCAGUGGGGAAUCAGGGCCUGAUGUGACUUCUUCUGUCCCUGAUCCACCACCUUCCUCUUCUGCCUCACACAUGACCAAACCUUGGCCUGCCCCUUGCCUGCCCUAGAUCAGCAUCUGCAGUCAUGGCUCCCAAUGGGGAACCAGCAAAACUGACAAAAAACGGCCCAAAGAGUAGGGAUAUCCCCCACCAUGAAGAACUGAUGCAUUAAUCCUGGAGAGGGUUUGGCAUGAUUAGCAGAGUGGUAAUAAGACACCCUCCUCUAGCCUUUCCUGUUGGUUGAGAGUCACAUAUUUCCCCUGAUAAUGAAGAAAAAGUCAAAUACUAAGGCAGAAGGAGGGUUUGAAGCCAUCUCUGUAUUCCAAACUCUGCCCAAGUGAUCUCAGGGCAGUUUCUCUCCCAGAAAAGCCCUCCAGGGAGCUGGGCGAGAGGCUCUGAACUUACAAGAAUGAACAUAGACUUCUGAAAAUGUUUCCCAAGUUAAUUAAAAACAGUCCCAAGGUAGGAUGGUGAGAGAGAAAUUGAAAUCAAACAAUACAAAAUCCAGCCCAAGCCUUCACCCCCAGUCUUGGCUUCUCCCAGAGAACUCCUCAGCUCACUACCUAGGGCCUCUUUCUGAAGAGAGCCUUUAUAUCUGGAUGAGGUAAAAAGCCAUUUGUAAUUACCACUGAGUAAAACUUGUAUCAUUUUCCAGCAAGAUCAUCACCUGCUAACAGAGUGAGGUUUUCAGACAAAUGCUGCCAGGCUGCUAGAUCCCUGCAAAGUGAUGGGAAAGCAAGCGGGUCCCAACGCUGCUUCUUACACCACUACUAACCAAGUCAGCAGAAUGUCAACAUGUGGAUUGUCAUGAAGAUGCACAAAGUGUUACUGUGUAAUCAAGAUGAAAGGGACAUUUCUUUUAAAAAAUAUAA